rnacentral:rRNA from 1 species
GACGAACGCUGGCGGCGUGCCUAAUACAUGCAAGUCGAGCGCAGGAAGUCGACGGAACCCUUCGGGGGGAAGUCGACGGAAUGAGCGGCGGACGGGUGAGUAACACGUAAAGAACCUGCCCUCAGGUCUGGGAUAACCACGAGAAAUCGGGGCUAAUACCGGAUGGGUCAUCGGACCGCAUGGUCCGAGGAUGAAAUGCGCUCCGGCGUCGCCUGGGGAUGGCUUUGCGGUGCAUUAGCUAGUUGGUGGGGUAAUGGCCCACCAAGGCGACGAUGCAUAGCCGACCUGAGAGGGUGAUCGGCCACACUGGGACUGAGACACGGCCCAGACUCCUACGGGAGGCAGCGGUAGGGAAUCUUCCACAAUGGACGAAAGUCUGAUGGAGCAACGCCGCGUGAACGAUGAAGGCCUUCGGGUCGUAAAGUUCUGUUGUAAGGGAAGAACAAGUGCCGCAGGCAAUGGCGGCACCUUGACGGUACCUUGCGAGAAAGCCACGGCUAACUACGUGCCAGCCGCCGCGGUAAAAC